rnacentral:rRNA from 1 species
UACGUAGGGUGCAAGCGUUGUCCGGAAUUAUUGGGCGUAAAGAGCUCGUAGGCGGUCUGUUGCGUCGGCUGUGAAAACCCGAGGCUCAACCUCGGGCCUGCAGCCGAUACGGGCAGACUAGAGUUCGGCAGGGGAGACUGGAAUUCCUGGUGUAGCGGUGAAAUGCGCAGAUAUCAGGAGGAACACCAGCGGCGAAGGCGGUGCUCUGGGCCGGAACUGACGCUGAGGAGCGAAAGCGUGGGGAGCGAACAGG